UGCAGAUUCACUGUUUGUUAGAUUUGUUCCGUUUUACAAAACCUUUUUGAGCAAACUAAACUGCGGGCAAAAGCACUCUUCAAUACCUUCAUUUUGGCGGUGGUUUCACUUCGAUUGACCUCCUGAAACUGAAAUGGUUCGCAGAUCAAGAUCUGGACAGAUCUGGCUUUGUCGAAUUAAACCAGGAGCUUGGGAACUAAUUUUUGAAUGAAACAAAUUGGGGGAUACUUAGUUGUGCCAUGGUGAUACCGAGAGAGGCAAUUGCUAAGUUAUGAUACUCUCAUACCUUUACUAGAUGCGAACAAUUUCGGAGGAGAAGAAGAAGAAGUGGAAUCGGACAAGGAUUUUAUUUGUACUGUGGGAAUUCUUAUUUGAUGGAGUUGAAGAAGUCCAGGGACAAAUAAGCCAAGGCAAGCCAUCUUUUGAUCUCUGAUAUGAUGUCUCUUUGGAUGUCAUCUUGUGCUAUCAAUAGCAUCUUGGUUCUAUGUGUGAUGAUCUC